rnacentral:rRNA from 1 species
GACGAACGCUGGCGGCGUGCUUAACACAUGCAAGUCGAACGGAAAGGCCCUGCUUUUGUUGGUUGCUCGAGUGGCGAACGGGUGAGUAACACGUGAGUAACCUGCCCUUGACUUUGGGAUAACUCCAGGAAACUGGGGCUCAUACCGGAUAUGAGCUCCUGCUGCAUGGUGGGGGUUGGAAAGUUUCGGCGGUUGGGGAUGGACUCGCGGCUUAUCAGCUUGUUGGUGUGGUAGUGGCUUACCAAGGCUUUGACGGGUAGCCGGCCUGAGAGGGUGACCGGCCACAUGGGGACUGAGAUACGGCCCAGAAUGCUAAGGGAGGCAGCAGUGGGGAAUAUUGCACAAUGGGCGGAAGCCUGAUGCAGAAACGCCGCGUGCGGGAUGACGGCCUUCGGGUUGUAAACCGCUUUCGCCUGUGACGAAGCGUGAGUGACGGUAAUGGGUAAAGAAGCACCGGCUAACUACGUG